rnacentral:rRNA from 1 species
AGGCGCCUACGGGGGGCAGCAGUGGGGAAUAUUGCACAGUGGGGGAAACCCUGAUGCAGCGACGCCGCGUGAGUGAAGAAGUAUCUCGGUACGUAAAGCUCUAUCAGCAGGGAAGAAAAAAAGUCUUUGGCUUUGGACGGUACCUGACUAAGAAGCCCCGGCUAACUACGUGCCAGCAGCCGCGGUAAUACGUAUGGAGCAAGCGUUAUCCGGAUUUACUGGGCGUAAAGGGAGCGUAGGCGGCCUGCCAAGUCUGAUGUGAAAUACCGGGGCUCAACCCCGGGGCUGCAUUGGAAACUGGCAGG